AUCUGGGUUAGCUCAGUUGGUAGAGCAUGGCAUUCUUAAUGUCAGCAUCAUGGGUUUGAGCCCCACUUUGGGCA